UACAGAGACUGCGAGCGUUAUUCGGAUUCACUGGGCGUAAAGGGUGCGCAGGCGGCCGUGUGUGUGAGGCGUGAAAGCCCGGGGCUUAACCCCGGAAUUGCACCUCAAACUACACGGCUAGAGCAUUGGAGAGGGUAGCGGAAUUCACGGUGUAGCAGUGAAAUGCGUAGAUAUCGUGAGGAACACCAGAGGCGAAGGCGGCUACCGGGACAAUUGCGGAGGCUCAGGCACGAAAGCGUGGGGAGAAAAAGGG
rnacentral:rRNA from 1 species